UACGUAGGGACCAAGCGUUGUUCGGAUUUACUGGGCGUAAAGGGCGCGUAGGCGGCGCGGUAAGUCACUUGUGAAAUCUCUGAGCUUAACUCAGAACGGCCAAGUGAUACUGCAGUGCUAGAGUGCAGAAAGGGCAAUCGGAAUUCUUGGUGUAGCGGUGAAAUGCGUAGAUAUCAAGAGGAACACCUGAGGCGAAGGCGGGUUGCUAGGCUGACACUGACGCUGAGGCGCGAAAGCUAGGGGAGCGAACGGG
rnacentral:rRNA from 1 species